AUUGAUUUAGUUGUACAGUAACUAUUCUUCAGCAUUAAUUGUAGAUGAGAUGAUGAUGAGGAAAAGAUCAAGUCAGAUGACCAAAUUUUUUGGAUGGUUCCAGAACAAGACAUAGUGGAUUCUUUUGAUGUACACUUGCAAGAGGUUGGUUACAAUAAUGGAACAGCUACCCCACAGCAAGUAGGUGUGGUGUUUUCUGGAAUAAAUGCCUCUUCUUUUGAGACUAUGUUGAAAGACAAUGCUGAGGUUAUCUUCAGAGUCCGUGCAGUUAAUGCUAAUGGAGAAAGUAACUGGAGCUAUCCUUACAGAGUUAUUCUUAAAGAGCAUUAAGUUGGAAGAGGAGAAGUCUAUUAUCAAUUUCCCAUGAAGAUCAC